GUUUUUUUGGAUUUUAUUUAAGAUUUGACCUGCCCAUUGAUUUUAUAUAUUAAAAGGCUGCGGUAUUUUAACUGUACUAAGGUAGCAUAAUAAUUUGUCUUUUAAUUGAAGGCUAGUAUGAAUGGUUUGAUGAAAAAUAAACUUUCUUAUUUUUAAUUAUUUGAAUUUAAUUUUUUAGUUAAAAAGCUAAAAUUUUUUUAUAGGACGAGAAGACCCUAUAGAAGUUUAUUUUAUUUAUAUUUAUGUUUUUUUGUUUAUAUAAAUUUUAUUUAGAAUGUAGAAUUUUGUUGGGGUGAUAUUAAAAUUUUUUUAACUUUUAAUUAUUUUUUCAUUAAUUUUUGUUUUUUUGAUCCAGUUUUAUUGAUUAAUAGAUUAACUUACCUUAGGGAUAACAGCGUAAUUUGUUUGGAGAGUUCAUAUUGAUAAACAAGUUUGCGA
rnacentral:rRNA from 1 species